rnacentral:rRNA from 1 species
AGCAGCCGCGGUAAUUCCAGCUCCAAUAGCGUAUAUUAAAGUUGUUGCAGUUAAAAAGCUCGUAGUUGAAUUUCGGGAUCAAUACGUCGGUCGUGCUUCGGUACGUACUGGCGUAAUUGAUUUCUCCCUUCUGACGAACCAUGAUGUCAUUAACUUGGUGUCAUGGGAAAUCAGGACUGUUACUUUGAAAAAUUAGAGUGUUUAAAGCAGGCUCACGCUUGAAUACAUUAGCAUGGAAUAAUGAAAUAGGACGUUCGAUCCUAUUUUGUUGGUUUUUAGGAUCAACGUAAUGAUUAAUAGGGAUAGUUGGGGGCAUUAGUAUUCAAUUGUCAGAGGUGAAAUUCUUGGAUUUAUUGAAGACUAACUACUGCGAAAGCAUUUGCCAAGGAUGUUUUCAUUAAUCAAGAACGAAAGUUAGGGGAUCGAAGACGAUCAGAUACCGUCGUAGUCUUAACCAUAAACUAUGCCGACUAGGGAUCGGAUGAUGUUAAU